rnacentral:rRNA from 1 species
UACAGAGGGGGCAAGCGUUAUUCGGAAUUAUUGGGCGUAAAGGGCGCGUAGGCGGCCUGGCAAGUGGAAGGUGAAAUCCCUCGGCUUAACCGAGGAACUGCCCUCCAAACUGCUUGGCUUGAGUCCGGGAGAGGUGAGUGGAAUUCCCAGUGUAGCGGUGAAAUGCGUAGAUAUUGGGAGGAACACCAGUGGCGAAGGCGACACGCUGGGCCGUACCUGACGCUAAAGCGCGACAGCAUGGGGAGCAAACGGG